ensembl:lncRNA
GAGCUAGUUUGGGAGUUAAAGAGAGGUUUGAAGAUGGCAGAAGGAGCCUCAAGGAGUAAAGGUACCUCUCUGCAGAAGUUGGAAAAGGUGAAGAAACAAUUCCUGAAGCCCCCAGAAGGUUGACAGCCCUACCCACAUGUUGAUUGUAUCCCAGUGAUAUUUUGGACUUCCAACUUCCAAAACGGUACUUUAUAUUUGGAGAAGGCAUGGAGAAUCCCAGGGACAGAGGAGCCUAAUGGGCUGCCGUCUAUGGGGUCGUACAGAGUCGGACACGACUGAAGCGAUUUAGCCCCAGUAGCAGCAGAGAUCAAACCCUGAACCUUUGGAGUGGGAGCACUGACUCCAAGACCCUAGACUACCAGAGAACUAACCCUAGGGAGUAUCAGAUAGUGAGAACUCACACAGAGGAAACCACUUGAAGACCAGGCAUCACCCAACCACCAGCAGCACCCUGUGCAGGAUGCCUCAUAUAAACAACCAACAAAACGAAUAUAGACCCAGUCCAUAAGCAGACAAGAUUACCACCUCACUCAGCCUUGCCUCAGAGGAAAAACAAACAAACAAAAAACUCAGCACAAAUCUCACCCUACAUGAAGCUCACACAAACCACUGGACCAGCCACAGGAGGGCAGAAACCAAAAGGAAGAAAUAAUUCAAUCUUGAAGCCUGGGAAAAGGAGACAUCAAACACAGUAAAUUUUUUUAAGAAAUGAAAAGGCAGAGAAAUACUACACAAAUGAAGGAACAAAUUAGAAACACAGAAGUCCAAAUAAAUGAAGAGGAAGUAGGCAAACUACCUAAAAAAGAAUUCAAAAUGAUAGUAAAGGUGAUCAAAAACCUUGAAAACAAGAUGGAGAAAAUACACGAAUCAAUUAACAAAGACCUAGAAGAAUUAAAGAAUAAAAAUACAGAGACAAACAACACAAUUACUGAAAUCAAAAAUGCUCUGGAAGGAAUCAAUAGAAGAAUAUCUGAAGCAGAAGAACAAAUCAGGGAGCUGGAAGAUAAAAUGGUGGAAAUAACUUCUGAAGAACAGAAUAAAGUAAAAAGAAUGAAAAGAACUGAGGAUAGUCUCAGAGAUCUCUGGGACCAUAUCAAAUGCACCAAAUUUGAAUUAUAGGGGUCCCAGAAUAAGAAGAGAAAAAGAAAGGGUAUGAGAAAAUUUUUGAAGAGAUUAUAGUUGAAAAUUUCCCCAACAUGGAAAAGGAAAUAGUCAAGUCCAAGAGGCGCAAAGAGUUCCAUACAG